CAUAGUAACCAGAUUGUCCUAUAUUUUGUUGCGUUCCUUUGUUGUAGUCUCUGAAGGCACAUUUUUUUUUCUUGUUCUCUAGCCUCACCUUUUACUCCAAAUUUCCAUAUUUCUCUUUAUCUCUGAUCCUCUUCUUGGGAAAUGUGAUAGAGGGAGCAAAGUCUGACAGGCUGAUUUAGACAUCUCUGAGGGUUGAUUCAAAACAGUAGUUCUGUCUGUCAAACACACUUCAAUGGUGCUGCCUGCAAAUACAGAAGAGGGAUAUGGAAUGGGAGGGCCGGGAAGGGAUGGGAGCCCAAAGCCCGGCAGUGACCACAGAAGGAUGAAUUGCAGUGAAUCCUUUAUUUUGCUGACCUCUUUGCACAGAUCGUUUGUGUGUUGGUUCUGGUUUAAUAUUCCAGGUGACUCAUGCUUGGGCAGAUUCCCUCAUCCCUGGUGCCAGCUUCCUCUGAAAUAUGCUGAGCAUCAGCCUCACAGGUGUGAAGAGGAAAGGAAUAAUUAGAGAUUAUCCAACAGACUGGGCACAGUGCUCCAUGAAUGCAAGGUACACAAAUAAAACAAAAUUAGCCAAAUCCUCUCUGCAAAUAAAAAAGUCAUCCCUCCAAUAUUUGCCUAGAGAGGAGGCAGGCCUGACUGGAGAAGCAGGCGGCUUUGUCUGCGGAGCGUCCUCUCCCACCGACCACAGCAAAUAUUUCCUGUGCUUUCCGUCUCCAGGGUCAAUUUCAGCCCUCUUACAAAGGCUCAAUUUACGUUAGCAAAUUCCAACUCAUGAAAGCUCAGUUGUUCCCCUUGCAAACUAAAAAUGGAAACCUCUAGUUUGCUGCUUUGGGCUGUUUAGUUGAAGGACGGCGUCAUGGGGUUUGCUCUGUGUUCUGCGGUGUUUGAAGCAAAAACCGCCACAGGACCCUCGUGCUUCUGGAAGGAGCAGGUUUGCUCUAUCUAAGCUGUCUCCUUCCGGUUCAUAUGACGGCAGCAAAGAAGUCAGGCCAAGUUCAUUCACACCCAGACUGAGGCCCUUAUCAUCUGGGCUUUAAGAACUUUGUUUCUUGUUGCCAUUAUUCAUCCUGGGAGGCAUCCGGCUGCACCUCGGCUCCUUGCUUCCUCCGCCUCCCCAUCUCUUUUAAGCAGGUUAGAAACAAAUCAAAAGACUCAUCUUUCAGAAAUCUAGACACGAGGGAAACAGUGCACAGCUAGUCUAACCUGGCUUUAGGAUUUGUUCUGCUCAGAGCACCACCAGGCCUACUUCAUCUGUCUGCUAUGUUCUUCAUUCUGUGCAAUAUCAAAACGGAGAAAUAUCCAUCACAUGCAGCUAAACAAGAACUGCCCUCAAGAUAAGAAAGAUUAAAACAAUUACAACUCACCCAGCUCACGGAUGCUAAGUAACUGACCCCUGUUCCACCAGCCAUAACUACAGCUUUGAUUGGAUGAGAGACUGACUCCAGUAACUUUCUCCUGAUAAGAGACCACCGGCCAUGGACUGGUUCUGGCUGGUUUGCAGAAAGUACAUUCAUCCGCCUUCAUGUCCUGAAAAGACCUUUUGAGCAGGCAGAAACUGUGCGUGUGUUCCCCGAGCUAUUCCGGACAAGGCCAUCUGCAGCUUGCACAGCUCAGCCCCAGGAGGAUGAGCACAUGAGGCCUGAAAAAUCUUGGGAAGAGUGAUAGCGAUGGUGUUUCCUCUCCAGGGAUGACACCCUAAAGACUGGGCCCUGUGCAGGGACGAUACAAGGUGAGUGGUGGCGGCCCAAAGA